rnacentral:rRNA from 1 species
GUGGGGAAUUUUGGACAAUGGGCGAAAGCCUGAUCCAGCAAUGCCGCGUGCAGGAUGAAGGCCUUCGGGUUGUAAACUGCUUUUGUACGGAACGAAAAAGCUCCUUCUAAUACAGGGGGCCCAUGACGGUACCGUAAGAAUAAGCACCGGCUAACUACGUGCCAGCAGCCGCGGUAAUACGUAGGGUGCGAGCGUUAAUCGGAAUUACUGGGCGUAAAGCGUGCGCAGGCGGUUAUGUAAGACAGAUGUGAAAUCCCCGGGCUCAACCUGGGAACUGCAUUUGUGACUGCAUGGCUAGAGUACGGUAGAGGGGGAUGGAAUUCCGCGUGUAGCAGUGAAAUGCGUAGAUAUGCGGAGGAACACCGAUGGCGAAGGCAAUCCCCUGGACCUGUACUGACGCUCAUGCACGAAAGCGUGGGGAGCAAACAGGAUUAGAAACCCGUGUAGUCC